rnacentral:lncRNA from 1 species
CGAGAUAUUUUGUACUUAAGGGCAUUUGAUGCAUCUGACAAAAAGAUGUGACUAAACUCCAAUGCUGAUCGACUUGCGGUCUUUUGAAGAUACCUGAUCUCAGUUCCAUCCCCACUGCUAUUAAAAAGCCAAGAUCAUCCGCAAGUCUUCCCAUCAACCAUCAAUGGCAAAGCUCACUUUCUCCAAAUGUUGUAGAACAGCAAGGAGAGGUCGUGAUGGUCGUUUAAUAGUUGCAGCCUCUCUAGGCGUUUCAUUUCCUAAAAUGCUACCACUAUCUUUGUGCAAAUAAUCAUCUGCUAGUGCUCGAGCAAGAGAAACUGUAAUGUCACCUUCAUGGGGUACAACAUGAAAACUCUUGGGUGAAAGAUGCUUCAUAUGUUCAUUGUACUCAUUUGAGACAUAAAAAGAAGAUAUCCGUCUCAAGGCAGCAAUGUCAACACACAGCAUGCUGGCAGAUAGGCCACACAACUCUAAAAAGAAAGCACAUGAAGCAACCAAUACAGAAUCUUCAAAGUUCACAAUGGCAAGAGGCUUGACCUGAAAUUGGAAGCCAGAAAAAAAAAACGAUAGUAAAUAACCAAUUACGAAAUAUAAUAAAUUUU